CGACAGUCCACCACCCUCUGACAAUGGACUGGAAUGUAUAGGAUCUUACACGGAGGCAAUUAAUUGUAGUUUAAUAGCAUGUCCAGAACCGUACAGAAGAAGAGGAUGUAAAAGACGACACAGAAGAGGAAGAAAAUAGAAAGUCUUAUAUCAUUGCUGAUUGAAUUCCAGAGAGGACACACUCAAAACAACUGACGUGUACAACAUGUUCUUGUUUAAAACAGAACUGUGCAAAAGUGCGGGGGAAAUUUGUUUUUUUGAUCAAUUAUAUAUUGAGGGAAUGUCACUAUUUAAAUGUUGAAAUAUGACUUAUGUAAUAAAAUUCGUUUCUUUCACGAACUGAUAUUUUGGGCAGAAUUUAACUGUAAAUGAGGUAACUAAACAAUUAUUGAAAUGUCAAUAAAAAUCAAA